rnacentral:rRNA from 1 species
CCUACGGGCGGCAGCAGUGGGGAAUAUUGCACAAUGGGGGAAACCCUGAUGCAGCGACGCCGCGUGAAGGAAGAAGUAUUUCGGUAUGUAAACUUCUAUCAGCAGGGAAGAAAAUGACGGUACCUGACUAAGAAGCCCCGGCUAACUACGGGCCAGCAGCCGCGGUAAUACGUAGGGGGCAAGCGGUAUCCGGAUUUACUGGGUGUAAAGGGAGCGGUGGCGGCGAUGCAAGUCAGAAGUGAAAGCCCGGGGCUCAACUCCUGGACUGCUUUUGAAACUGUGUUGCUAGAUUGCAGGAGAGGUAAGUGGAAUUCCUAGUGUAGCGGUGAAAUGCGUAGAUAUUAGGAGGAACACCAGUGGCGAAGGCGGCUUACUGGACUGUAAAUGACGCUGAGGCUCGAAAGCGUGGGGAUCGAACAGGAUUAGAUACCCGUGUAGUC